GGGGCUUUAGCUCAGCUGGGAGAGCGCAUGGUUCGCAAUCAUGAGGUCGCCGGUUCGAUCCCGGUAAGCUCCACCA
rnacentral:tRNA from 1 species